AGAGCUCACUUAUAGGUACCUGAGAAGUAGUAGCUGUAAGCUGGAAAAAUGUUACAUGGGUUAGCUGGGGCUCUUCAGGUUAAAAGCCCAAAUGAGGUUGAUUGGUGAUUAGCUCAGAGACAAAUUGGAGAUUACGGAACCCUGGGGAGUGGGAGGAGUUUGAUUAAUGGGACUGUUUGCAACCCCUCAGCCAAAGAGAAGUGAGCCCUGUGCUAGGGAAGCUGAGCUCCAGACAGAUACAAGUAAAGGAAAAUGGGUGGGACAAACACAGUGGGCUGAGACAUGCCAUCAAUAUCAGCUUCUUGUGUAGGGGUCCCAGGAAAGAAGCCCCACUCCUUCAAUUUGCUGCAGCAAAUUUGAUGGGGGCAGGUCAGAGGGAACUGAGGUCAAAGUACAUUACUGAGCCCACAAGAAGAAAGACUGUUCUGUUUGUUUGGACUACUGUAUUUACCUCUGAAGAGGAGGACUUUAUAUUUGAUUGGAGAGCCAAAUCACCCAGCUGCCAGAGUGAGAGGCGCUGUCUUUGGAGGGGACACUAAGACAUGUAUGAAAGGGUGAACUGAGGUGGUGACUAAGAAUCGAUGCCAGAGAGGAGGAACAUCCCACAUUUUAGAUGCCACUUCACCUCUGUCCUACGCAAAUCUGGUGUUGUCUUUUAUUAUUGCCAGGAGCAAAGAUGAAUCAUGAAACUGAAGUUACGGGAAGUUGAUUUCUGUAACAAAUCACAUCACUCAACUAAAAAUGCUGCCGCUCUCCCUUUCCAGGUUGUAUAUUGUUUCAGUUCCUCUGGAGGUAUAUUUUGGACUUUGCAUGAGAAACAUUCAAAAUAUUUUUACAGAAGGUUUAUCCUUUUGAUAUAAAGAAGAAAUUCAAGCCAGAGGUAUAAACAGAUGUGAAUCGAUCAGAUCUCAACCGAACUCCAAAGAGAUCUUGCCUGACAUAUUUGGAAAAGCCUGUCUUUCUUCCAGACAUAUUUGCAAAGAAAAAGCCGCUUGACUCUGAUGCAUGCCUCAGUCCAAUGGGUUUAUUUGUUCAAAAAUACUACCUAAGAAUAGAACUUGGUGAGGUCAAAGUAUACAUUCACGUAUCAUAAAUGGAAUAUUGUAUAGUACAUAGAAAAUAAAGGCCACAAGGAAGAUUACUGAUGUCUUAAUAAACUGCAGAAGUAGAACAGAAGCUUUUUAAGAUGCUAAAAAUAUGAGAACUAUAAGUUUGAAAGUGAGCUGUUUAAAUUACCAGAUGACUGAAACUGUUAAGUGCAAAACUUUGCUGGGCAAAAGUGUUUCUGUUUUUAAUAGAUUGCCACAUCAGGCUGGAGCUGCAGCCGAGAUAACGGAUGACCUUUGAAGUCCUUAGGAUAAAUUAUGGUUUGUGUGCAAGAGAUGAUAAUGCAGUUAAAAAAGAUUUAUGUAAUAGUUCUUCAAAGAGCCUGAGACAUUAGCACAGGGUCAUAAAUUAGUAGGAUUUUCAAGUAAGGAAUUACUUUACAUAGGAGGGCCCUGGAAUUUUAUCCCAUGUGGUUUUGCCUCCAUGAACUUGCUGAAGUUUAAGUGAGGAGUUACCUGAUGAGCCUUCACAGGCAGCUGUGAAAUUACAGGGAAGUCUGGGCUGAUAAGAACCAAUCACAUUUCAAUAGCGAUCAAAUACUUCCCCGGUAGAGAAGUUUAGCUUGUACUCUGUAGGACAUAUGUCAGAAACUUAUCACUACCUCUUUCAAGAGACCUUAGGCUGAAUAACAAGUUGAAAGCCGUCUUUAAUCUUCCAGGCUUCAGCGGUGGUCUAAAUAAAUCAUUUUAAAACAAAUAUGUUUUAAAACCUUUUACCCUAUUAAAAAUGAUAGGCUUGGCUAAGUAAAUCCUUAUUAAAUCAUAGUGAUGCCAUUUUCCCUGUCAAUUAGAGAACCCUAUUUUUAGAGUCUUGUAAAUCAGAUUUCAUUUUGAGCUGAAAGUUGGCAUGUAGAGUCCAAACUAAGGACCGAUUUCGUAUUACUGUUGUUUGUGCCAGGGUUUUCCAGCAUUGGACUGGGGAGGCAAAAACCUACAGGCAAAGGAAUGAGGGAGCUCUAAGUAUAGUCUAAGCAAUGGUGGGUGAGUAAUGCUGUACCACCACCUCUGGGACGCAGAGACAUAAGGUUAGUACUAUGAUCAGUUGAAAUGAAGUCAGAGGGCCCAUGUUCCCUGGACUGUUACUGAGGGGACACCUGUGGAACAAGGAAUGUAGAGAGCUAACCUUGAAACAACUCAGACACAUGGCCAGAGCAGUCCACAGGAUUUACUAACAUUUCACUUGUUCCACUUAAUCUGCAUCCAGUUUCACUCUUUGUGUGAAUGAGACACCUCAUAAAUCAUAAUGUAGUACUAAGCUAAAUUCAAAACCAAAAGGCUACAGAGGAUAAAUGGAGUUGCAUGUGUUCAAAUCCCCUCCUGAGCUCAUUCUGCUCCAGUAGUGGGACUUACCUCGACGGAUGUGUAGAUCUAAGUUCUGUUAGGCCUAGGACCCCCAGCCAGCCUAGGACUCCAUUCAUAUUUCAUUGGAUUCUCUGCUUAAUCUUCUACCACUUAAAGGAGGGGAGAAGCUAAAAAUUCUGAUGCCUCAUGGGAAAUGCCUUGUCCCAUAAGCCUGCCUAUACUUUGCUCAAAAUAGCUUCUAUUUUAAAAACUUGAACUUGGCAGGAACUUAACAAGGCCGGGAAUCUUUGGUGAUUUUGGGAAGGGGAAAUAUAAACACCAUCCAUAUUAUUCCAUCUGGAAAAGCCGCUUCUAAAAAAUAAAAUAGUGAGGAAUUCCAGUAUGCACAGCUUUUGUUCAGAGCCAGCACAAAACAGGAGAUAAACUGUAACAACAUCAGUUUAUGGCUUGUCAGGUAUAUUACCAAAAGGACAAGUGAAAUAACCAGGAUGUUCAGGGCGUCUCUCAUACUUCCAAUGAAGGCUUUUAAAAUCUAUCAAUAUCUCAAUCUUUCAAUAGACGUAACACUGCUGAUGAUAGUUGUCACUUCAUCCAUUGAUUUCUCUCCCCUACUAACUGUGCAAAAUUGCAAAGAAAAUUUAACAGCACAGGCAAAAAUCUAUUGGAUCCUCUUUAUUACUAAUGCCAGCGUACACAACCCUCACUUCUUCUGCCAUAAAAUAUCACUGACUCUCACUUGGACACCCAUGCCUUCUCUCUUUUUCAACACCUUCCGCCCACACACAUUCUUAGACUGGAGCCUGCUGAACCAGAAUCCAACUUAAAGCGGCUCCCCAUCUGCUGGCUAACACCCGCUAGAGGCUGUCUUUCCGCCAGAAUGGCAAAUUCCCACCAACCCCCCUUGGUUGGCGGUGGAGUUGGCGGUGAAUCAAGCCCAUUAUGUUUGAAAGCUGACUUCAGGGCUGGGCAAUGCACUACUGUUUCUUGCUAAACUAUACUUAAUUUGGAAGACCCAGAAAUAGGUAUUUCAAGAUUAUUUUGAAGUGAAAAUUUGUAUAUCCUCUUUUAAUCCCAUUUCUGAGCCUGAGAAUUGGAAAGCUAAGGAGGACGAAGUUUUGAGGAAACCUCAGAUAUUCUAUCAAUGCAAUCAGACAACUCUGAAAAAAAUAGUGGUUUUUUUUUUUUAAUUUUAAUUGAAUGUGCACUGAACAUGUCCAUGUACUUGAUUAUCUGUGUUGGUUCAUUCCACCCACACCUUGGGUUUGUUAUUAGCCUUGUCAUUAGAUAAGACUUCUGUUAUAUCUACUGCUUGGAUGCAAUUAAUUGUUUACUUUCUCUAGGCUAGCCAGAGAUUGAGAUGAGAUAUUUUGGUAAAAUAUGCGCUAUUUCCCUACCCGCAUUAUUGAAGCUUCUAAUUCUUAGUUUAUAGACUUCACAGGAGAGGGAGUGUUAAUUAUGCUGUUAUGGCUAUUUGUCUCUGGCUGUAUACAAAGAUUUAUUUACAUGUUGGCUCUUUUCCUAGAUCUUCUAUUAGCAAGUAUGAUGCUGAUGAUUAUACAUAAAGGACCUGACUUUCCUACCAGCCUUACCCGAGCCUGCUUUUGCACCCGUAAUUUUGCUGAUGAAAGCAAUUAGGUCAUCUAGGCAUCCAAGUUCUGCUUUACAGCUGCAGUCAUGUACAUCACUGCAUGCUUACAGUGAACCACCACCCCCCCCAAAAGAUGCCACUUUCUUCACACUCUCACACACACGCACACACAAAAUCAGGCACCAAACACAUAUGCUAAACUC